CCGAGUUUACAACUCCCAAACCCCUGUGAACAUACCUAUACGUUGCCUCGGCGGAUCAGCCCGGCGCCUCGGCCGGAUAAGGGACGCCCGCCGAGGACCCCUAAACUCUGUAUUUUUAGUGAUCUUCUGAGUAAACAAGCAAAUAAAUCA
rnacentral:misc_RNA from 1 species